UAUUUAUAUAAUAUAUAUAGUAUAUUUGACUUCCAAUCAAAAAGUUUAAUUUUAAUUAAUAUAAAUAA
rnacentral:tRNA from 1 species